rnacentral:rRNA from 1 species
UACGUAGGGUCCGAGCGUUGUCCGGAAUUAUUGGGCGUAAAGGGCUCGUAGGCGGUUCGUCACGUCGGGAGUGAAAACUCGGGGCUUAACCCCGAGCCUGCUUCCGAUACGGGCAGACUAGAGGUAGGCAGGGGAGAGCGGAACUCCUGGUGUAGCGGUGGAAUGCGCAGAUAUCAGGAAGAACACCGGUGGCGAAGGCGGCGCUCUGGGCCGUACCUGACGCUGAGGAGCGAAAGCGUGGGUAGCAAACAGG